UACGGAGGUGGCAAGCGUUGCUCGGAAUCACUGGGCGUAAAGGGCGCGUAGGCGGGGAGGUAAGUCGGGUGUGAAAUCCCUCGGCCCAACUGAGGAACUGCGCCCGAGACUGCUUCUCUUGAGUCCCGGAGAGGAAGAUGGAAUUCCCGGUGUAGCGGUGAAAUGUGUAGAGAUCGGGAGGAACACCGGUGGCGAAGGCGGUCUUCUGGACGGUGACUGACGCUGAGGCGCGAAAGCUGGGAGCAACGGG
rnacentral:rRNA from 1 species